CCUACGGGAGGCAGCAGUGGGGAAUAUUGGACAAUGGGCGAAAGCCUGAUCCAGCCAUGCCGCGUGUGUGAAGAAGGCCUUCGGGUUGUAAAGCACUUUCAGUGGGGAAGAAAGCCUUGGGGCUAAUACCCUCGAGGAAGGACAUCACCCACAGAAGAAGCACCGGCUAACUCCGUGCCAGCAGCCGCGGUAAUACGGAGGGUGCGAGCGUUAAUCGGAAUUACUGGGCGUAAAGCGCGCGUAGGCGGUCUGAUAAGCCGGUUGUGAAAGCCCCGGGCUCAACCUGGGAACGGCAUCCGGAACUGACAGGCUAGAGUGCAGGAGAGGAAGGUAGAAUUCCCGGUGUAGCGGUGAAAUGCGUAGAGAUCGGGAGGAAUACCAGUGGCGAAGGCGGCCUUCUGGACUGACACUGACGCUGAGGUGCGAAAGCGUGGGUAGCAAACAGGAUUAGAUACCCCUGUAGUC
rnacentral:rRNA from 1 species